AAGGCGUAGACAUGAACAAGUGGCUCCCAGUCCAUCUCUGCAUUCAUAAAUUGAAGAGGAUGACAUGUUCCCAAGAGAGCCCCCUGGGAUCCUCAGGAGCCCUCCAUCUUAUGGCUCCCCAAAGAAGAAACAGAAUUACCUCGUCACUUCCUGGUAUCUGGUCUGCCCCCAGAAGACCAGGAGCCACCUCCAGAUACCACUGAUACAUGGACUUGGGAUUAAGUUUUCCAACACAUUUUCCUCUGGGGUGGCGGGACAUUCAGACCAUGGCCAUCUCCUUCUGUCGCUGCAUGGAAUGAAGAGCCUUCACUUCACAGACAUGGAAGAGAAUAGAACAAAAGAUUCCACAGAUCAACUCAGGGUGGUGUCAACAAGAGACAGCAAUGAGGCGGAACACCCGGGUCGCCGCUAACUCUAGCUCUCAGGCUGUGCUGGCCACUGGCUUUCCCUACCAGAGGACGGUUUUGACGGGCAGACACAGUCACUGCACUAGUGGGUGCUCACCGUGACAGAUCAAGACAACUGUGUGAGCUGGUCUGAAGCACAGUCCUCUUCCCCGUGCAUGAAGACCAAGAAGGGUGAUCAUAGAACCGGUUCAGUGGGUACCCUGGGAAUUCAGAAGAAAGCAUCAGAUCUCCCUGGAACUGGAAGCACUGAUGGUAUGAGCCACCAUAUGGGUCCUGGGAACCAGCCAAGGUCCUCUGCAAGAACCACACAUGCAAAAGCUGUGGAGCCAUCUCUCCAGCUCCAUCUUUAAUUCUUUUGGCACUGAAAAUCUUUACUCCAAGAAAAUCUCACCUAAACUUCCAUCAAAACCAAUGGGAAAUCAGCAAUCGCAGGGUUUUCCAGAAAUUCUUUGCCACUGUUCCUUGGCAGGAGACUACGGCAUCACAUGGCCAGUGACUGGUGCCUUCUGACUCACGGAAUGGAAAGAAACCACACAGAGAAGCACACAGGGCCUCUGUUGCCAGCCAGGGUGACCACAUGGAACGGGAGGUGAUUCAUCUGAGCCUGCCUGGCAUUGGCACUCGAAUACACUUGCCUGGAGCUGGGCAGUCAGCCCUUAAGUGAUGCGUGGGGUAUCCCCCUCCCAGGGCAGAGCAGCCCCUCCUAGGAGGAAUAAGUGGCUCUCUGCCUCUGUCCCAAGUGGCUGACAGAUGACCAAGGAGGUUGUAGGACAGCUCUGGGGACAGAGGUAAUUAGAUCAAGAAUCAGGGUUGGGGACUUCAGAGAAGAGGUAGACAGGUGGAAGCUGAGUGUGGCUGGGGUCCUUUGCUCCAAAUUCUUCAUCACACCUGGUGUCUCCAACACAGAGGAGACACAGCUCACCAUUCCAGAAGGAAUAUAAUCAGUUGCUCACAUAGUCCUUUUCAAGGCCAAGUGCAGAGGGGGCAGGGCACCAAGGGCAAGCGCAACUCUACGUCAUUCCCCACUGGGCACCAUAUGACAGUCCCAUUUUAUGUAUGAGGAAAUUUUAACCAGAAAUAUAAAGCAGGUUGCCGCAGGUGACUGCCACCAGUGACAACUCUAACCACGUUGUGUGGUCCAGCUCUGCUGUGAGCUGCUGAUGGAUACAACAUCCCAUGCAAGCUCCACAUUUCCCUUCACAUACAUGGUCUGACAUCAUCCUCAGAGCAGCACUGUAGGGAGGAUGUUAGUGUUCACACAAAAUGAGAUCAGAAAGAACAGCAAGGCACAGGGUGUGUGAUGGACAGGGUGUGUGAUGGACAGGGUGUGUGAUGGACAGGGUGUGUGGACAGGGUGUGUGAUGGACAGGGUGUGUGAUGGUUUGUAUAUUCUUGGGCCAGGGAGUGGCACCAUUUGGAGGUGUGGCCUUGUUGGAAUAGGUGUGACCUGGUUGGAGUAGGUGUGUCACUGUGGGUACGGGCUUAAGACUCUCACUCUAGUUGCCUGGAAGUCAGUCUUCCACUAGCAGCCUUUGGAUGAAGAUGUAGAACUCUCAGCUCUGCCUGGACCAUGCCAGCCUGGAUACUGCCCUGCUCCCACCUUGAUGAUGAUGGACUGAACCCCUGAACUUGUAAGCCAGUCCCAAUUAAAUGUUUUUUUAUAAGA
rnacentral:lncRNA from 1 species